rnacentral:rRNA from 1 species
UACGUAUGGUGCAAGCGUUGUCCGGAUUUAUUGGGCGUAAAGCGAGCGCAGGUGGUUUAUUAAGUCUGGUGUAAAAGGCAGUGGCUCAACCAUUGUAUGCAUUGGAAACUGGUAGACUUGAGUGCAGGAGAGGAGAGUGGAAUUCCAUGUGUAGCGGUGAAAUGCGUAGAUAUAUGGAGGAACACCGGUGGCGAAAGCGGCUCUCUGGCCUGUAACUGACACUGAGGCUCGAAAGCGUGGGGAGCAAACAGG